ACAGAUAAGGACCCAUCGCAGCUUGAGGAGCAGCAGGUUCCAAGAGAAGGGACGCUAAAGAACUGUAAACAUGAGAUGGUCCUUGUGACUGUUUCAAGCAUGAACAAAUGUGUUGCAUGUGUUGGACCUGUUGCAUCACUCAAGUGGAUUGGUCUGAGAUGUAAAGUUUGCUGUUGUUUUUGAAAAAUUAGAAAAAGAUCAUACAGAUCUGGUGCCAAGGGAGGAAAGGAAUUCUAGUUCUGAUGAGGAUAGGUCACUAUCAGAAGAAGAAUAUGUGCCAGAGUCAGACAGUGAAUCAGACAGUUCAGUGGAAUUUGCAAUAGAAUGUGGAAAGAAGGCUCAAAACAACACUUUGAAGUUGGUCCCAAAUUAUGCAAGCAAAGGCAAUGGCAAACCGUGCCUGAAAGACCGGGAAGAAGCUUGUUUGAAUGAAGAAUCUGAGUUUUGUUAUGAGGAGCAGUUGACAAAUGUAGACUCUGAUGAUGAAUCAGACAGCACCAGUGAAUUUGAA